CGCAGCUCCGGUGCCCAGCGCGCAAGGCGCGCCCCAGUCCCGCGCGUCCCAGCCGCUGUCUGUCUCCCCCACUGCCUCCUCUGUGCUGACUCAUUGAGCGACCCCGACUUGUCUCAAAAUAAAACAGGGGCACAGACACUUGUAGUCUGGACAGACUCCCCCCGAGGCUAGAGUCUAUAGGAACUGGAGACAUCCCUGUACCGAUCCUGGUACCAAUGCGCCCCUGUUCGCGCUGUGGUUCUCAGUCUCGCUCCCACCGCAACCCCUUCCCCCCGUAACUCGAGAAAUUUAAACCAGCGUCUUAAAAAUAAACCGCGUGGGAGCCCGGGAGUUCGUGAAUGUGGCCGACAGGAUAGGAAAAGGUUUUAUUGUUGUUCAACUUCUGACCAAAAUGGGAUCUUUGAGUCACUGAAUUUUAAGGAGUCAGGAGAUAUGGAACAGCAGUUUCCCUGACCUAGAGGUUCAGAGAACAGACCCAGGGACUUUAGGGGCUGGCCUUGGUAUGAGUGAGCAAAAUGAAGUGGUUUGUGGCUGAAACAACCUCCACGGGAAAGAAAACUGGAGUGUUCGUUCAUCCAUCAAAGAACAAACGCCAACGUCUGAGCCAACGACCCCAGCUCCCCCAGACAAAGCAGUGAACAGAUUAAAGGAUGGGAGGAAGGAUACAAUCAAAAUCGGGUGGUGAUGGCUGGCAGAUAAAAAUAUGGAACGCUUCAUGAAUUUGCGUGUCGUUCUUGCGCAGGGGCCAUGCUAAUCUUCUGUGUAUCCUUCCAAUUUUAGCAUAUGUGCUGCCAAAGCAAGCACUUUUUUUUUCUUUAAUAGAGACAGGGUCUCGCUUUUAUGCCCCGCCUGGUCUCAAACUCCUGGCUUCAAGUGAUCCUCCUGCCUCAGCCUCCCAAAGCGCUGGCAUUACAGGCUUGAGUCACCAUAUCUGGCCAAUUGAUUGCUUUCUUUUCUUUUUUGUUUUUUUUUUUGAGUUGAUGCCUCACUCUGUCGCCCAGGCUGGAGUGCAGUAGUGCAAUCUCAGCUCACUGCAACGUCUGCCUGUGUUAAGCGAUUCUCCUGCCUCAGCCUCCCGAGAAGAAGGGAUUACAGGCAUACGCCACCCACACCCAGCUAAGUUUUGUAUUUUUAGUAGAGAUGGGUUUUUGACAUGUUGUCCAGGCUGGUCUCAAACUCCCAACCUCAAAUAAUCCGCCCACCUGGGACUCCCAAAGUGCUGGAAUUACAGGUGUGAGCCACCUUGUCUGUGCCAGUUGAUUGUUUUCUGAUUAUAAAAGUAAUGGAUCACUGUAGAAGACUUGGAAAAUACAAAAAAGAAUCGUGAAAACGUCUGUGGCUGCGGCGGGUGGCAGGGAGUCUGUUCCUAGGCCAGUUCCCGAGGCAGAACCAGACACAAGGAAGCAGUGGCGAGGUGGGCUCCUGUACCUGGGGCCCAGCAUUAGCUUGGGGCUUAGUCACUUACCAGUGUGUGGCUUCGGGCAAACAUUGUUAAACCUCUCUAGACUUCAUUUUGUCACCUGUAAAAUAUGACUAAUAAAAUGAACUCUAAGAUCCCUUCUCGGCUCUGUGAAAGGCAACCUCAGAAAUCAACUCUGCCUCCAAAACAAGUGGCAUGAGCUUCUCCACCAAGUCGAAUAAAGUGGAAUUACUACUUUCCUAGAAAUGCUUUAAGAAAGCGUUGGAAAAGCAGAUCUAUGACUCCAUCUGUCUUUCAGGAGCGCUGUCUCUUAAAAACAGAUGUGACUAAUAACACAAAUAUUUGGCAGGUGCCAAUACAUGUUAAAAGUCCAGUCCAAGGCGAUGACCAUUCUGAUCACACCAUUCUAGAAUGGUCAACCCAGUGGAAAGUGUGGCAUCUUUAAAAAUUCUGUAAUGAAGCAGAGUGAUCAA
rnacentral:lncRNA from 1 species